rnacentral:rRNA from 1 species
UGGGGAAUCUUGCACAAUGGGGGCAACCCUGAUGCAGCGACGCCGCGUGAGCGAUGAAGCCCUUCGGGGCGUAAAGCUCUUUCGACCGGAACGAUAAUGACGGUACCGGGAGAAGAAGCUGCGGCUAACUACGUGCCAGCAGCCGCGGUAAUACGUAGGCAGCAAGCGUUGUUCGGAGUUACUGGGCGUAAAGAGUGCGUAGGCGGUUUUCUAAGUUCGGUGUGAAAUCUCCCGGCUUAACUGGGAGGGUGCGCCGAAGACUGGGAAGCUGGAGUGUGGGAAAGGCAGGCGGAAUUCCUGGUGUAGCGGUGAAAUGCAUAGAUAUCAGGAGGAACACCGGCGGUGUAGACGGCUUGCUAGACCAUAACUGACGCUGAGGCACGAAAGCGUGGGUAGCAAACA